rnacentral:rRNA from 1 species
GCACGUUAUGGUGGGCGACUCUAAGGAGGACUGCCGGUGACAACCGGAGGAAGGUGGGGAUGACGUCAAGUCAUCAUGGCCCUUACGGCCUGGGCUACACACGUGCUACAAUGGUCGGUACAAAGGGUUGCCAAGCCGCGAGGUGGAGCUAAUCCCAUAAAACCGAUCGUAGUCCGGAUCGCAGUCUGCAACUCGACUGCGUGAAGUCGGAAUCGCUAGUAAUCGUGAAUCAGAAUGUCACGGUGAAUACGUUCCCGGGCCUU